AGCAGCCACAGCCAUGACCAGACAAAGAUAAUAAUCACCCCCAGGCAUAAUUUUGCCAAAUAUCAAGCUUGAUAUUGAAUUCAUUUUUACUGUCUGUGCAGUGGUCGUCUGCAGAAAAGAUCUGAAAAUAUUGCAGGGCUUAAAAACAAAGGUGGUAAGCAAAUUAACAGGAAAAAGGUCCAGCCACUGUCAAAGCUGCUAUGUGAGAAGAACCAGCGUGUACUUGAAGGUGUUGCCAAGCCUCCUAUUGUCUUUGAGUCUCCGGUGAAGGGAGCCCCGAUCCAAUGUGAGGCACCCGACUGUCAACUUCAUACCGCAGGCGAUUCUUUAAUUCGACCGUCGCCUCUUCCUCAUCUCAGUUGUGUCUCUCAUGAGGACGUCCGGGUGAAAAUGGUUGGUAAAGAGCAGAAUGACAGACGCAGUAAGAGCUUCAUGCAGAAACAUCCCAGCUUACAACCCAGAAUGAGGUAAGUGAGGCGUACACUCUUCAGCGGCAGACGUUCUACUUGGCACAGGACUACUUUGAUCGUUUCAUGUUGACCCAGAACAAUGUGGAAAAGGAUGUGCUGCAGCUCAUAGGCAUCACCUG